rnacentral:rRNA from 1 species
AAGUCGUAACAGGGUCUCCGUUGGUGAACCAGCGGAGGGAUCAUUACUGAGUACUACACUCUCUACCCUUUGUGAACUAUUAUACCUGUUGCUUCGGCGGCGCCCGCAAGGGUGCCCGCCGGUCUCAUCAGAAUCUCUGUUUUCGAACCCGACGAUACUUCUGAGUGUUCUUAGCGAACUGUCAAAACUUUUAACAACGGAUCUCUUGGCUCCAGCAUCGAUGAAGAACGCAGCGAAACGCGAUAUGUAAUGUGAAUUGCAGAAUUCAGUGAAUCAUCGAAUCUUUGAACGCACAUGGCGCCUUCCAGUAUCCUGGGAGGCAUGCCUGUCCGAGCGUCGUUUCAACCCUCGAGCCCCUGUGGCCCGGCGUUGGGGAUCUGCCACGGCAGGCCCCUAAAACCAGUGGCGGACCCGAAGGGCCCUCUCCUUUGCGCAGUAGCAUUCGCCUCGCAUCGGGAGUCCUCGGCGUCCUGCCUCUAAACCCCCACAAGCCCGCUUCGGCGGCACCAAGGUUGACCUCGGAUCAGGUAGGAAUACCCGCUGAACUUAA